rnacentral:rRNA from 1 species
AGCUCUGAGCAGUAGAUCACUUGGCUCAUGGGUCGAUGAAGAAUGCAGCCAGCUGCGAGACUUGGUAUGAAUUGCAGGACACACUGAGCUCUGGUAUCUCGCCUGUCUGAACUACAUGUUAUGUCA